AUUGAACGCUGGCGGCAGGCUUAACACAUGCAAGUCGAGCGGGGAAGUAUAGCUUGCUAUACGACCUAGCGGCGGACGGGUGAGUAAUGCUUAGGAAUCUGCCUAUUAGUGGGGGACAACAUUCCGAAAGGAAUGCUAAUACCGCAUACGCCCUACGGGGGAAAGCAGGGGAUCUUCGGACCUUGCGCUAAUAGAUGAGCCUAAGUCAGAUUAGCUAGUUGGUGGGGUAAAGGCCUACCAAGGCGACGAUCUGUAGCGGGUCUGAGAGGAUGAUCCGCCACACUGGGACUGAGACACGGCCCAGACUCCUACGGGAGGCAGCAGUGGGGAAUAUUGGACAAUGGGCGAAAGCCUGAUCCAGCCAUGCCGCGUGUGUGAAGAAGGCCUUUUGGUUGUAAAGCACUUUAAGCGAGGAGGAGGCUACCGAGAUUAAUACCCUUGGAUAGUGGACGUUACUCGCAGAAUAAGCACCGGCUAACUCUGUGCAGCCGCCGCCGUAAGAC
rnacentral:rRNA from 1 species